rnacentral:rRNA from 1 species
UACGGAGGGGGCUAGCGUUGUUCGGAAUUACUGGGCGUAAAGCGCGCGUAGGCGGCAUUGCAAGUCGGAUGUGAAAUCCCUCGGCUUAACCAAGGAAGUGCAUCCGAAACUGCUGUGCUUGAGUACUUAAGAGGAUCGCGGAAUUCCCGGUGUAGAGGUGAAAUUCGUAGAUAUCGUGAAGGAACACCAGAGGCGAAGGCGGUUACCUGGACAGUUAC